rfam:Triticum aestivum genome assembly, contig: Triticum_aestivum_CS42_TGACv1_scaffold_136241_2BL
CUACUACUCCCUCCGUCCGAAAAUACUUGUCAUUGAAAUGGAUGUAUCUAGAUGUAUUUAAGUUCUAGACACAUCCAUUUUGAUGACAAGUAAUUCUGAACAGAGGGAGUAUUAU